rnacentral:rRNA from 1 species
CCUACGGGAGGCAGCAGUGAGGAAUAUUGGUCAAUGGGCGCGAGCCUGAACCAGCCAAGUCGCGUGAGGGAUGACGGCCCUACGGGUUGUAAACCUCUUUUGCCGGGGAGCAACGGGCGCCACGUGUGGCGCUUUGCGAGUACCUGAAGAAAAAGCAUCGGCUAACUCCGUGCCAGCAGCCGCGGUAAUACGGAGGAUGCGAGCGUUAUCCGGAUUUCUUGGGUUUAAAGGGUGCGCAGGCGGAAUGUCAAGUCAGCGGUAAAAUUUCGGGGCUCAACCCCGUCGUGCCGUUGAAACUGGCGUUCUUGAGUGAGCGAGAAGUAUGCGGAAUGCGUGGUGUAGCGGUGAAAUGCAUAGAUAUCACGCAGAACUCCGAUUGCGAAGGCAGCAUACCGGCGCUCAACUGACGCUCAUGCACGAAAGCGUGGGUAUCGAACAGGAUUAGAUACCCGUGUGUC